rnacentral:rRNA from 1 species
AUGAAGGUGGCGGCGGGGACCUCGGCGGAUCCACCCUGCAUGGAGAACCUCAGCAUCCGGGGCGGUGGCCCCGGGCGGCUGCCAGCGGCGUGGCCUGUGCGGCGGGCGGCGGCGCAGGGUGCAGGUGGGCCGCCUUCCCGGUCGCGCGGGCGGCGUGGAGGCGGCGGGCGUCGACGGCUGCAGCAGCUUCCCGUAGGUCGGCUGUACCUUGGAGAAUCGGCGUCCACAACCUCAAUCUGCUCCGAUCCGCGCCGCCCCCUGUCCCUGGUGGCUCCGGUCGCUGUUUUCUGGAUGGCGGGUGUGCGGAUCUGGUGGUUGGGUGCGGAUCCGGGGGAAACCCCUGGCCGGCGCGGCGGCCACAUUGAAGACGUCGCCUUUGGGCAUCGUUUUCCUUGCUGA